rnacentral:rRNA from 1 species
UAACGCGAAGAACCUUACCUGGGCUUGACAUGUUCCUGACCGCCCUGGAAACAGGGUUUCCCUUCGGGGCAGGAUCACAGGUGGUGCAUGGCUGUCGUCAGCUCGUGUCGUGAGAUGUUGGGUUAAGUCCCGCAACGAGCGCAACCCCCGUCGCAUGUUGCCAGCAUUAAGUUGGGGACUCAUGCGAGACUGCCGGUGACAAACCGGAGGAAGGUGGGGAUGACGUCAAGUCAUCAUGCCCCUUAUGUCCAGGGCUACACACGUGCUACAUUGGCGCGUACAGAGGGCUGCGAUACCGCGAGGUGGAGCGAAUCCCUUAAAGCGCGUCUCGGUUCGGAUUGCAGGCUGAAACCCGCCUGCAUGAAGGCGGAGUUGCUAGUAAUCGCGGAUCAGCACUGCCGCGGUGAAUACGUUCCCGGGUCUUGUACACACCGA